UGACAUCAAUAGCCUACAGAAAUUAGUCAAUUUUGCAAAACUAAUUAGAAAGCACUCGGAAAAUUAUGAUUUCGGUAAAUUUCGAUACCCAACUGCAAUAAAUUGUUCGAU